ACUAAAAUGUUAGAUAGAAGUAGCUCUCAGGCUGAUGUGGCCAGGGGGCCCCAGAGGGGAAAAACAGACACGAGGUCUGAGGAAGAUAAUUGAACCAGUGGAAAAGUACUGAAAGAGCAGUAAAACUUGAAAAAACAGAACAAAGGGGCCAUCUGGUACAUAGCAAGUUGAGCUAACUGAUAGCCGAAUAAGGCAUGUUAGAACACUGAUAAGAGACUGGGGCCAAUGGCAAACUAUAGAACCGGCCAUUACCAAAUAAGGGAACGGUGCAGGAAUAAGGGGGGUAUAAGAAUAAACAACUUAGAACAAAGGAUUAGAAGGCGCCUUCUCCAGCAAGCCUGAUACCUUGCUGUAACUCGAUUCUCUCUCGAACAAAGCAGUCUGUUUCUUAGAAUCUGACCCGGUGUCUCAUUCCUCCGAAACGAACACGGGGACGGUAGAACCGUCCUAACAGAUGGUGACCCCUGACGUGCGGAGGGAACGGAGACAUGCUUGUUGGCAGGAGUUGAGAGCCGCCGGGUGGCCGGCCAUUCUGAACUGGGUCCGGGGACGCCCUUUGCAUGAAGGUCUCCAGUAGACAUUGACCACUCUAAAUUAGUAGUUGUUCCGACGUCUCGAAUACCUUUACCAACCUAAAUUGCAGACGUGAGUAGACGACAGAGAAUCGCUUUGUUCUAAGAGUGAGUCCUCUAGGUGUGCGUUGGAACAGCCUUGCAAUUUAAAAGUCCUAGAGUCGGUGAGACCUCCAGGUGUGCGUUGAAACACCCCUGCAAUUUCAAAAGUCCUGGAGACGGACCCUUAUGACCCGGACUAUCGACCGAGCCCUUACAGACAAGGACGACCACCCCUCUUCGCCCCCACCUUAUCAAGCCGUGCAGCAGGGAUGCGCGGGCGCUCCCUAUGCGACAGUGAGCAUGACUGGAUUGGAAAUGGAGGGGGACCACCCGCCCCCAUGUUACGACUUUUGAGUGUUUAUGUUUGUUAUGUUUAUUUCACUGUUUCUCGUGCCUUAACGAUUGUAUGCGAGCUGGAGAGGCGCAUAGAGUAGGGAUUUUGCGACGCGGAAUGCUUUGUGUACUUGUGUGCUGCUUAGGGACUUCUUUCCCUUAUAACUGUGUCUCCAUAGAGUCAGACAAGCCGGGUAACGCCAAGUGGUCGGUCUUGCAAAUGAGUGACGGAGGGGCACUCACCGACCCGCCCGGCCCUGACUGCUGCGCGCGUUUGCUGUAUUUGUGGCCUCUCUGAGGCCAAGAGGGGGAAUGUUAGGUAGAAGUAACACUCAGGCAAAUGUAAGAUGGAAGUAACACUAAAAUGUUAGAUAGAAGCAGUGACACUAAAAUGUUAGAUAGAAGUAGCUCUCAGGCUGAUGUGGCCAGGGGGCCCCAGAGGGGAAAAACAGACACGAGGUCUGAGGAAGAUAAUUGAACCAGUGGAAAAGUACUGAAAGAGCAGUAAAACUUGAAAAAACAGAACAAAGGGGCCAUCUGGUACAUAGCAAGUUGAACUAACUGAUAGCCGAAUAAGGCAUGUUAGAACACUGAUAAGAGACUGGGGCCAAUGGCAAACUAUAGAACCGACCAUUACCAAAUAAGGGAAUGGUGCAGGAAUAAGGGGGGUAUAAGAAUAAACAACUUAGAACAAAGGAUUAGAAGGCGCCUUCUCCAGCAAGCCUGAUACCUUGCUGUAACUCGAUUCUCUCUCGAACAAAGCAGUCUGUUUCUUAGAA